AAUAUUGCGCAAUGGAGGGAACUCUGACGCAGCGACGCCGCGUGAGCGAUGAAGGUCUUCGGAUCGUAAAGCUCUGUCCUUGGGGAAGAAGGUCUUCGGACUUGACGGUACACAAGGAGGAAGCCCCGGCUACCUACGUGCCAGCAGCCGCGGUAAUACGUAGGGGGCAAGCGUUGUCCGGAAUUAUUGGGCGUAAAGGGUGCGUAGGCGGCCUUUUAAGUCAGAUGUGAAAGCCCACGGCUUAACCGUGGGACUGCAUUUGAAACUGGAGGGCUUGAGUAUCGGAGAGGGUAGUGGAAUUCCCAGUGUAGCGGUGGAAUGCGUAGAUAUUGGGAGGGACACCAGUGGCGAAGGCGGCUCACUGGCCUGUAACUGACGCUGAGGCUCGAAAGCGUGGGGAGCAAAUA
rnacentral:rRNA from 1 species